rnacentral:lncRNA from 1 species
UAUUACUUUUUAUACUGUACCUUAAAAGCAUUAGGCUUGGAAGAGUUUAUUUUGGUGGUCAGAAAAAUAGGCUUCCUCUCAUUUGACUAUUUUAAAUGUUAAGAUGUAAAAUAAUGAAAGACAGAUAAAUUGCUUUAUGCAGUAAAGUGUUUUUUUAAGAAUGUUUAACUCAGCCAGUGGGCAAAUACUUGGUAUAAGGCAAGUUGGUCUUUUCAUACUGAAAUGCGUUAGCUAGGAAAGAUAUUCUUGAAAAUCUUUUUUUUUCUGAUUGUAAUUAAUUUCGGGAAGUGUAGAAAGGUCCUUACUCCUUUGUACGUAUUCAGGAUGCCUGCCUUUUUUAUGCAAUUGUGGAAAGAAUGUCAGAUGUUUUAAUAUAUUCUUUGUUAAUCUGAAAACUUGUUAUCUGAUCAUUUUCUUCAUUUGGGGGGAGGGAGGAACACCACAAAAAGGGGAUUUUUAUCAAAAUAAGUAAUGGAGGUAACAAAUCUUGUACAUUUUUUAUAGUAAAAAUAUUUAAAGAAUAAGAGACUAUUCACUUUUAGAACUGGUUAUGGUUAAUAUGCGUUUAUAACUUUGUCAAAAUAUACAACCAACGGUUUGACAGUGAUGUUGUCUGCAUCUGUAGUGAGAUGGAUGUGGUUCCUGGUUUUCUGUUUGGGAACAGAUCAUCCCAGCCUUCUCUUAAAAAUAUAACCCCAGCACUUAAUCGGUGAUCAUCUGGUCCACACACAGCGCCCAUGGGUGCUAAGAGUAGUAACUGAGACCGGAAUUAAAUGUGCCCUUUGGUGGAGAAAAGAGGUGUGUUCAGGCCAACCCUGUGGUCGGAUGAGGGAGUGACAGGAAUGCACUGGUCCAAGUCGGCCUUUGUUCCCUCAAACUC